rnacentral:rRNA from 1 species
GACAGAGGUGCCGAGCGUUAGGCGGAAUCACUGGGCUUAAAGCGUGUGUAGGCGGGCGGGCAAGUACCUUGUGAAAUCCCACGGCUCAACCGUGGAACGGCUGGGUAUACUGCCUGUCUUGAGCCAACUAGGGGCGAGCGGAACAGACGGUGGAGCGGUGAAAUGCGUAGAUAUCAGGAGGAACACCGGUGGCGAAGGCGGGUCUCUGGGCCGAUAUUGACGCUGAGGAGCGAAAGCGUGGGGAGCGAACAGG